rnacentral:misc_RNA from 1 species
AUUGUCGCGAGUCUAGGUCUGAAGAAAACUGAAUUUAAAGCUGCGGGUCGAUGAACAAAAAUCGGAUAUGAGGCUUGAUAUAUCUAAAACGAGCAGAUAGGUGACCACGGCGUCCUUCAUCUGC